CCGACGGGUAAGAGAGCCGGUCCGAGGACAUNGUCGACUAACGGCCGCGCAAGCACCCGGCAACGGCGCUAGGUCCGUAAAUCCGUGAGAGGCGAGCCUGCCGACGAGCCAGGACGCACGACAAAAAGCGUGCGGCCCAAUACCUUAUUCAAAUGCGUUCUAUACCGCCGGGCAGCCGGCCGGGCGACCGUGGUCUGCGCGUCGCGCGUCGACGCGUGAACGCAAACGCGACAGUCGACCAACCGGCCGUAGGCCGGCACCCAACGGGUCGCGACGUCCUACUAGAGGAGAAGUGCACGCGACGUCGUCGGACAUACCGCAGCGAUGNGUGCCGCUGAACCGAAGCCCCGCGACAUCGCUAACACCGCACGGAAGCCAACGCCGCUGACGAUGAAUCUCCCCAUUCGAUCUUUUGGGUUUCUCAGGUUUA
rnacentral:rRNA from 1 species